AGGGGUUUGAUCAUGGCUCAGAGCGAACGUUAGCGGCGGGCUUAACACAUGCAAGUCGAACGCGAACGCCUCUUCGGAGGUUAUUAGAGUGGCGCACGGGUGAGUAACGCGUAGGCAACCUGCCCUCAGGAGGGGGACAACUGCCCGAAAGGGCAGCUAAUACCGCAUAAGACCACGGCACCCACGGGUGCAGUGGUAAAAGGUGGCUUCGGCUAUCACCUGAGGAUGGGCCUGCGAACCAUCAGCUUGUUGGUGGGGUAACGGCCUACCAAGGCAAAGACGGUUAGCUGGUCUGAGAGGAUGACCAGCCACACUGGCACUGAAACACGGGCCAGACUCCUACGGGAGGCAGCAGUGGGGAAUCUUGGACAAUGGGCGCAAGCCUGAUCCAGCCACGCCGCGUGAGUGAUGAAGGCCUUCGGGUUGUAAAGCUCUGUGGGGAGGGACGAAAAAGGUGGUCAAGAUAACGGGCCGCCCUUGACGGUACCUCCUUAGCAAGCACCGGCUAACUCUGUGCCAGCAGCCGCGGUAAGACAGAGGGUGCGAACGUUGCUCGGAAUCACUGGGCGUAAAGCGCGUGUAGGCUGACCUGUAAGUCAGGUGUGAAAUCCCUGGGCUCAACCUAGGAACUGCAUCUGAAACUACAGGUCUUGAGUGUCGGAGAGGGAAGCGGAAUUCCUGGUGUUAGAGGUGAAAUUCGUAGAUAUCAGGAGGAACACCGGUGGCGAAGGCGGCUUCCUGAACGACUACUGACGCUGAGACGCGAAAGCGUGGGGAGCAACAGGAUUAGAUACCCUGGU
rnacentral:rRNA from 1 species